rfam:Vibrio harveyi ATCC BAA-1116 chromosome II, complete sequence.
AAGUGAGGACGACCUCACCGCUCUUAUCACUAUCGGGGACGACCCCA